rnacentral:rRNA from 1 species
AGAGUUUGAUCCUGGCUCAGGAUGAACGCUAGCGACAGGCUUAACACAUGCAAGUCGAGGGGUAGCAGGGUAGCAAUACCGCUGACGACCGGCGCACGGGUGAGUAACGCGUAUCCAAUCUACCUGUAACUCGGGGAUAGCCUUUUGAAAGAAAGAUUAAUACCCGGUAAUACUGAGGGUGAGCAUUCAUAUUCAGUUAAAGAUUUAUCGGUUACAGAUGAGGAUGCGUCCCAUUAGAUAGUUGGUAGGGUAACGGCCUACCAAGUCUGCGAUGGGUAGGGGUUCUGAGAGGAAGGUCCCCCACAUUGGAACUGAGACACGGUCCAAACUCCUACGGGAGGCAGCAGUGAGGAAUAUUGGUCAAUGGGCGUAAGCCUGAACCAGCCAAGUCGCGUGAAGGAUGACUGCCCUAUGGGUUGUAAACUUCUUUUUUAGGGGAAUAAAGUGAGUCACGUGUGACUUUUUGUAUGUACCCUACGAAUAAGCAUCGGCUAACUCCGUGCCAGCAGCCGCGGUAAUACGGAGGAUGCGAGCGUUAUCCGGAUUUAUUGGGUUUAAAGGGUGCGUAGGCCGACUUUUAAGUCGGCGGUGAAAUUUUCCGGCUCAACCGGGACAUUGCCGUUGAAACUGAUAGUCUUGAGUGUAAAUGAGGUAGGCGGAAUGUGUGGUGUAGCGGUGAAAUGCUUAGAUAUCACACAGA